UACAUGGGGUGCAAACGUUGCUCGGAAUUAUUGGGCGUAAAGCGCGCGUAGGCGGUUACUUAAGUCGGAUGUGAAAGCCCUCGGCUUAACCGAGGAAGUGCAUCCGAAACUGGGUAGCUAGAGUACGAAAGAGGGUCGCGGAAUUCCCGGUGUAGAGGUGAAAUUCGUAGAUAUCGGGAGGAACACCGGUGGCGAAGGCGGCGACCUGGGUCGAGACUGACGCUAAUGUGCGAAAGCGUGGGGAGCAAACAGG
rnacentral:rRNA from 1 species